UAUGAUAGAUUAUUACCUCGCAUUUUAGCAAUGGAAUAGUACCCAGCCUUUUAAUUUCGUAAACUCUCACCCACAUAACUCAAAAAUACCUAAUUAUACACAACAGAAAUGAACAUCCACUCAAAUGUAGCCUAAUAAAAAGUGUAAAUUAACAGAAGGAUAUUAAUUAAAUCCAAUGUAAUAACGGCAGGUGGGCAGGUAAACGUAAAUUGUAUGUAUGUAUCUAUACAUCGCUGGGAUUUCCCACACACUUUGCAAUAGUAAAUAAGAUUUAAAAAGGUUCUUCACGAGAAACCGCAUCGAUAGCCCGAACUAUAAACGUCAUUGCCAAAUCUCGAAACCGCUAUCGACAUUCGAAAUCCCGCAUCCCCGGUUAUCGGUAAGGAAAACUACUAUGCAGAAAACACGAUGUUUAUAUACGUUAAUAAAUAUAAAUGUCCUCAGACGAUAGUAGACUCAACUGAGAGGUGGACGUUUCGCGCAAACUAAAAGAAAAAUCACUAAAAAUUGUGCUUAAUCAGAACGGACACGCCAACCACAGGAAGGAAUUUAAAAUGGUAUCCUACACAACACUGGUCAUUGUCACAAUGGUACUGGCGCAAGCGUUUUGCAGGCCCGAGGUGAACAAAGAUAGUAACAUCAGUGGUUCUACAAUAAAACCACCAGCCGGCCUCUCAUACAACGAACUGAUGUAUAUUCUACAAGCGAGGUACGGCAAAGAUGUGCCAAGGCCGAAGAUUUUGUCCCCAUGUGCUCGAGCGAUUCUCGGUUGCUGCAAGGAUAAUCACAUCAACGAGUCUUGCUCGGAAUCACUCAAUUGCGGAGCAUUUUUCUUCGACGACAAUCCCUGUGAUGAGAAAUUCGUGCUAGACGCUUUAAAAGCGGCUAAGAGCUUUUAUCAGCAACUGUGAGGUUAUGGUACAAAGAACUUUGGUUUUAUUGAAAUGAUUGUAGUCAGACUUAGAUUUGCUGAGUUUUUUAUUUGUAAAUGUUGGUAUCUUAUCUCAUCAAUGGCUCUUGAUUACAAAAUUACCUACGAUUUGAUAAGAAAUGUAUAUUUUUAAGUACACAGAAACCAAAUGGCACAUUAUUUAAGUAGCAUACUUAUAACUAAUGUCUUCAUUAAUUUGUAAAUGAUAUUUGUUGUUCUUAUUGUAACUAAUUGGUAUAUUGAAAUACAAUAUUUGGCGUUCAAUAUAAUACAGACAAAUAACACUAAUUACCACUUUGUGGAUAAUCAGAAGAAAAUGUAUGAAAGUGAGCUCUGGUAAUUGCCUGUCAUAAUACAUAACGGUGUUAAUAUAUAAUGUACUGAUUAAGCCUAGGGCCAUUGUCUACAGCUAAUGAAGCGUCUUCUCAAGUAACACGCGAGAUAAGGUAUCAUAACUGACUAAGAGAUUGUAUUAUUAUGAAUUGUACGUAGGUAAUUGAAUCUGCAUAAGUAGAACGUCUGACUUGACAUCAGUCGUUAGGUGGUAACUUAAUAAGUAAUUUAUUUUCUUUCAUGACAAUUUCCUGCCUAUACUUAAAGAAUAUACAUAGAAAUAAGUAUUUUUGAAUAGAACUUUAACAACUUUUUUGUAUUAUUACAAUUAAGUAAUGUUUUUUUGUAACUGUCAAUACUUUUUUUGGAUUUAGUCUCAUAUUUAAUUGUGCCUGUUCGCCAAAGUUAUUCCUUGAUUAAACAAUUUUUUUUGUAUAACUUCGCGUAACUUUGAAUUCAAAAAACAUGAAAUAUGUAACUAUGUUGAUAUUACUGUUAAGUCAUUAAUUUUAAGGCGUGAUUGUCAAGCUUCAAAAGACCCGAAAAGGCUUUAGUAAGAGGAUCGGCUUUCCUGGCGUGACGUCACGACAUAGUUUAUAGUCCCCACUGCCAUAAUUUAUUGUGUAAAGAAGAUUUAUAAGCUUUGGAGUCGAGAGUGGAUUGUAUACAAUAUAUACGUACUAAAUUGUGUACCUACCAAGUACGGAGUACAGGUUUAUAAAUAUUUGUUAUCGAAAUGGCUUAAAAACCGUUUCAGAAAUAAAAUA